rnacentral:rRNA from 1 species
GAUGAACGCUGGCGGCGUGCUUAACACAUGCAAGUCGAACGGUGAAGGAGGAGCUUGCUCUUCUGGAUCAGUGGCGAACGGGUGAGUAACACGUGAGCAAUCUGCCCUUGACUCUGGGAUAACAGUUGGAAACAGCUGCUAAUACCGGAUACGAGACGUGACCGCAUGGUCAACGUCUGGAAAGAACUUCGGUCAAGGAUGAGCUCACGGCCUAUCAGCUAGUUGGUGAGGUAAUGGCUCACCAAGGCGACGACGGGUAGCCGGCCUGAGAGGGUGACCGGCCACACUGGGACUGAGACACGGCCCAGACUCCUACGGGAGGCAGCAGUGGGGAAUAUUGCACAAUGGGCGAAAGCCUGAUGCAGCAACGCCGCGUGAGGGACGACGGCCCUCGGGUUGUAAACCUCUUUUAGCAAGGAGAAGCGAAAGUGACGGUACUUGCAGAAAAAGCGACCGGCUAACUACGUGCCGAGCCGCCGACGGUAACGUACCAAC